AAGACCUUGCACUUUUGGAGCGGCCGAUGUCUGAUUAGCUAGUUGGUGGGGUAAUGGCCUACCAAAGCUUCGAUCAGUAGCUGGUCUGAGAGGACGGCCAGCCACACUGGGACUGAGACACGGCCCAGACUCCUACGGGAGGCAGCAGUGGGGAAUUUUGGACAAUGGGCGCAAGCCUGAUCCAGCCAUGCCGCGUGAGUGAAGAAGGCCUUCGGGUUGUAAAGCUCUUUCAGCCGGGAAGAAAAGGUUGCGACUAAUAAUCGCAAUUCAUGACAGUACCGAAAGAAGAAGCACCGGCUAACUACGUGCCAGCAGCCGCGGUAAUACGUAGGGUGCGAGCGUUAAUCGGAAUUACUGGGCGUAAAGGGUGCGCAGGCGGUUUUGUAAGUCAGAUGUGAAAUCCCCGGGCUUAACCUGGGAACU
rnacentral:rRNA from 1 species